rnacentral:lncRNA from 12 species
AUUUGGGAUUAGAGCAAUCACCUCAUUUCUUUGUAACUGAGGAUCUCAAUGUGACCCUAAAGUGUUCGCAGAUUGGAACAUCACAUAACAGCAUGUACUGGUUCAGAAAAACACCCACUGAACGAUUGGAGCAGAUAGUGCAUUUCUACAUUAAAACAGAAAACUGGGAGAAGGAUUUUAAGCAGAGAGCAUCAGCUGUGAGGAACGGGGCAUCUUUAGACCUGACUCUUGCCAAAGUACAGCACUCUGACAGUGGUGUUUAUUACUGUGCAAAGCAAGAGGCACAUCAGUGUAACCCAAUCUAUAACCUCAACAAAAACAUGCAGAUUCACAUCUAACACCUGUUCAUCUGAAGUCACUGAAUGAAAUUCUACAUUACAUAGGGAUGAGUGGUUAAUGUAUUUCUAUACAUUUAUUUUGCAUUAUUAUGCUAGUUUACACACAUAAUUUAAACUUUUCCCACAUGUAAUAAUAAUAAUAAUAAUAAUCAUAAUAAUAAUAAAAUUCUAAGCAUGUUUCAGCCCAUUAACAUACAAGUAGUCUAAUUUAUGAUUUUUCAACACAAAUUGAACUUAAUUUAGAGUCGUUUAGAGUUGAUUUGUUGAAAUUUUCAUUAUAACCAGUAGGGGUCUCCUAUGAGGCUAAAUAAAGUUACUGAUCAUGUGGAGUGAAACAGGCUUUAUAAAACAGAGCAUUGAGUUUGUAUUCGUUUAAAGUGGUUCAUUCUACACAUCCUGUUCAGACCUCACACACACUGCUGUUCAUUCAUGUCAUUCCUCCAGCACUGAAGCAUCAACAUGAUAUUUAUAGUGUGCUUGAUUUAUUUAGCAGCACCUCCAUUCUGGGUCUCAGGAGAAUCACUAAGUGAUCAAGUUCGUCAGAAUCCACCUCAUCUGAUAACAAGAGCUGAGAAAACAGUUCAGAUCAGCUGUUCUCACACCAUUAAAGACUAUUACAUGAUAUUAUGGUAUCAGCAGCUGAAGGGUGAUAGUGCACUUAAUCUUAUUGGAAAUGUGUAUUACACAAAUCCAACCACCGAAAACCAAUAUAAAACUCAGUUCAGCAUUGGAGGAAAUGGAGCAGAAUCCUCUACUCUUAAUGUAACAUUAGAAAGAGAACAUGUUGGGAGUACUGCAGUAUAUUACUGUGCUGCCAGUAGAGCACAGUGUGGAAGAUCCUUUAAUCACUCUUACAAAAACCUUCAGUUAAACCCUGUCACCACAACAUUAUUAGCACCUGAAUGCACCCAUACACCCCCAAACAUGAUCACUCAGUGCACCCAUAUUAAGUUGUAUGAUGAUUAAUAUUAUACGCAGUUAUGUCUCUAAGCAUUUAAUUCAUAUAUACAAUUAUACAUUUUAUUGUUUUUAAAAUGAUUUCAUAUAUAAUUCAGCUAUCUCCAUUGCUGUUAAUUGCUUGCCUUAUCCGUUACUUAUUAUUUUUUGUAUUUUUUAAAGUGUAAAGUGAAAUUGAUGAUGCAGUCACUGUAAUUCUUAUCAUGCAUCUACAAAGUACAUGCGUUCAUUAAUUAAUUGAUUUUUUUUUUUUGAAGGAGGAACUAAUCUAUUCCAGCAUUAUAUGUCCAUUCCAUUAGAUGUCCUCACAGAAAACUAUAGCUACUGAGUUUCUUGACUCAUAAAAACUAAAAUCUUCUUCUAUUAUGUAAACAAAAAUAACUUAUUUAAAUUGUUAUUUAUUUAUUUAUUAUUUUUUUAAGAAUCAUUGAGACUAAUUGUUUUUAAUUAAAAUCCCUUCCUCGUUUUCUCUCCUUGCUUUACAGAUUUGGGAUUAAAGCAAUCACCUCAUCUCUUUGUAACUGAGGAUCUUAAUGUGACCCAAAAGUGUUCCUAGAUUGGAACAUCACAUAACAGCAUGUACUGGUUCAGAAAAACACCCACUGAACCAUUGGAGCAGAUAGUGCAUUUCUACAUUAAAACAGAAAACUGGGAGAAGGAUUUUAAGCAGAGAGCAUCAGCUGUGAGCCGUAACCCAAUCUAUAACCUCAACAUAAGCAUGCAGAUUCACAUCUAACUCCUGCUCAUCUGUCAAUGAAUGAAAUUCUACAUUACUAUAGGGAUGAGUGGAUAAUGUAUUUCUAUACAUUUUAGUAUUUUUAAGUUAGUUCAUUCACAUAAUUUAAACUAUUCCCACAUGUAAAGAAAAAAAAAAUCUAAACAUGUU